GGAAAUAGCCCAGCACUGAAUCCCGCGGUUGUCACGGCCGCGGGAGAUGUGGUGUUCGGGAGGUUCCGCUUUCUCGUCGUCGCAUCUCCUGUCCAAGUUCGUCUUGAACGGGGCCGUUUUCCCAUAGAGGGUGCCAGGCCCGUAGCGACGGAGGGCGGCGGCGAGAGGGACUCUCCUCAGAGUCGGGUUGCUUGAGAGUGCAGCCCUAAGUGGGUGGUAAACUCCAUCUAAGGCUAAAUAUUACCGCGAGACCGAUAGCGAACAAGUACCG
rnacentral:rRNA from 1 species